rnacentral:rRNA from 1 species
UACGGAGGGUGCAAGCGUUAUCCGGAUUUACUGGGUUUAAAGGGUGCGUAGGUGGGUCUGUAAGUCAGUGGUGAAAUCUCCGAGCUUAACUCGGAAACUGCCAUUGAUACUAUAGGUCUUGAAUUAUCUGGAGGUAAGCGGAAUUCCGGGUGUAGCGGUGAAAUGCGUAGAUAUCCGGAGGAACACCGGUGGCGAAGGCGGCUUCCUGGACCGACACUGACGCUGAGGCGCGAAAGCUAGGGGAGCAAACGGG